CCCUGGUGGCUCAGAUGGUAAAGAAUCUGCCUGCAAUGCAGGAGACCCAGGUUCAAUGCCUGGACUGGGGA
rnacentral:tRNA from 1 species